UCUUCCCAAGUGACUCUAGCUUGGGUUGAAAGACCCUAGUGGGGAGACUUCCACUCAAGUCCCGAGAUGGUGCGCACCCAAGGAAUCACGAGAGACA
rnacentral:pre_miRNA from 7 species